GAGCCAUCUGUCCACAUGGAACUGAAAAAUCUACUGCGCCACAGGCAGGGAGGACAAGCCAACAACACAGGAGCUUUUGCUUGUGUUGAUUUGGGACUUGGUCACAGUUUUCUGGACACACAUGCAAGGCCUUCAAAUCUUCGCACUAGAUUCUGAUUGGGCUGAGUUGAUCCAGGACGCCUUGAAUGCCUUCGGCUGCGUGACGGGAAGUGUUGGGCUCGGCGUCGCCUCCCUCUCCUCCAAGUCAUCGAAGCUCACUUCCUGCACGGCCUCCUGUU